AUCAUGUUUAGGGCCAGCGAAGGCCUCUGGAACACAGCCACAUGGGGCUUUAGACUGAACUGUUCUCCCUCAGCUGAGAAACCUUGGCAAGGUGCAGCAUAGCCAAGUAAAACUCAACGAUACAGUGUCCCUCAGACUACAUCCAGUCGCUGUCAGUCGAUACGAGGAAACAGACGGUGGUUGUACAGCAAACAAAUUAAGGCACACCGCUACGGAGUACCAACAUAUGUACACGGUUUGAUCCUCCAUACAUCAGGACCACAACCAUGGGUUCCAUUCCGAUGACCACACUGAUUAAUCUGCAAUAAUAACUUUCAAAUAGCCCAGGAUUAGAGUACCCAGAAAUGCAAUGCAUCUAUUUUCACCAGUAGAUGGAGGAGAAGAUGCAGGUCAGUGAUCAUAUCUCUCAAACA